rnacentral:rRNA from 1 species
UACGUAGGUGGCAAGCGUUGUCCGGAAUUAUUGGGCGUAAAGCGCGCGCAGGUGGUUUCUUAAGUCUGAUGUGAAAGCCCACGGCUCAACCGUGGAGGGUCAUUGGAAACUGGGGAACUUGAGUGCAGAAGAGGAAAGUGGAAUUCCACGUGUAGCGGUGAAAUGCGUAGAGAUGUGGAGGAACACCAGUGGCGAAGGCGACUUUCUGGACCAGUACCGACGUUCAGGCACGAAAGCGUGGGGAGCAAACAGG